rnacentral:rRNA from 1 species
CACAAGCAGCGGAGCGUGUGGUUAAUUCGAUGUUACACGAAGAACCUUACAGGGUUUGACAUGCAAGUGGUAGGAAGCCGAAAGGUGACCGACCCUUCGGGGAGCUUGCACAGGUGCUGCAUGGCUGUCGUCAGCUCGUGUCGUGAGAUGUUCGGUUAAGUCCGCUAACGAGCGCAACCCUCGCUGUGUGUUAUAUGUGUCACACGGGACUGCCGGUCUUAAGCCGGAGGAAGGUGGGGAUGAUGUCAAGUCAGCAUGGCCUUUAUAUCCUGGGCUACACACACGCUACAAUGGCCAACACAAUAGGUUGCUAAGCCGCGAGGUGGCGCCAAUCCAUAAAGUUGGUCUCAGUUCAGAUUGUAGGCUGCAACCCGCCUGCAUGAAGAUGGAGUUGCUAGUAACCGCAGGUCAGCUAUACUGCGGUGAAUACGUUCCCGGGGCUU